GUUAGGAAUAUUGGACAAUGGGCGAAAGCCUGAUCCAGCCAUGCCGCGUGAACGAUGAAGGCCUUCGGGUUGUAAAGUUCUUUAGCCGAUGAUUAUAAUGACUGUAGUCGGAAAAUAAGCCCCGGCUAACUUCGUGCCAGCAGCCGCGGUAAUACGAAGGGGGCGAGCGUUAUUCGGAAUCACUGGGCGUAAAGCGUGCGUAGGCGGUUUGGUAAGUUAGGAGUGAAAGCCAAGGGCUAAAACUUGGAAUUGCUCUUAAAACUGCAAGGCUCGAAUCUCGGAGAGGAUAGCGGAAUUUCCAGUGUAGCAGUGAAAUGCGUAGAUAUUGGAAGGAACACCAGUGGCGUAAGCGGCUAUCUGGACGAGUAUUGACGCUGAGGCACGAAAGCGUGGGGAUCAAACAGGAUUAGAAACCCGUGUAGUCC
rnacentral:rRNA from 1 species